AGGACGAACGCUGGCGGCGUGCUUAACACAUGCAAGUCGAGGGCAUGCAGCAAUGCAUGACCGGCGAACGGGUGCGUAACACGUGAGCGACCUUCCGUCUUCUGGGGGAUAGCCGGCCCAACGGCCGGGUAAUACCGCAUACGCUGCGCUUGGGGCAUCCUGGGCGUAGGAAACUUCCGGGGGAGGACGAGGGGCUCGCGGCCUAUCAGCUAGUUGGUGCGGUCACGGCGCACCAAGGCGACGACGGGUAGCUGGU
rnacentral:rRNA from 1 species